AUACGGAGGAUGCGAGCGUUAUCCGGAUUUAUUGGGUUUAAAGGGAGCGUAGGUGGGAUAUUAAGUCAGCUGUGAAAGUUUGGGGCUCAACCUUAAAAUUGCAGUUGAUACUGGUUUCCUUGAGUACGGUAUAGGUGGGCGGAAUUCGUGGUGUAGCGGUGAAAUGCUUAGAUAUCACGAAGAACUCCGAUCGCGAAGGCAGCUCACCGGGCCGGAACUGACACUGAUGCUCGAAAGUGCGGGUAUCAAACAGGAUUAGAUACCCUGGUAGUCCGCACAGUAAACGAUGAAUACUCGCUGUUUGCGAUACACUGUAAGCGGCCAAGCGAAAGCGUCAAGUAUUCCACCUGGGGAGUACGCCGGCAACGGUGAAACUCAAAGGAAUUGACGGGG
rnacentral:rRNA from 1 species